CUACUUAAAACCAUCGCGAACUUAUCCAAGUUGCUUCGGCGGCGCGGCUCCCCUCACGGGGGACCGCAGCCCCCGCCUCUCAGGAGGUAAGGGGCAGCCGCCGGAGGUACGAAACUCUGUAUUAUAAUGGUAUCUCUGAGUAUAAAACAAAUAAGUUAAAACUUUCAACAACGGAUCUCUUGGUUCUGGCAUCGAUGAAGAACGCAGCGAAAUGCGAUAAGUAAUGUGAAUUGCAGAAUUCAGUGAAUCAUCGAAUCUUUGAACGCACAUUGCGCCCGCUAGUACUCUAGCGGGCAUGCCUGUUCGAGCGUCAUUUCAACCCUCAAGCUCUGCUUGGUGUUGGGGCUCUACGUCUGACGUAGGCCCUGAAAGGAAGUGGCGGGCUCGCUACAACUCCGAGCGUAGUAAUUCAUUAUCUCGCUAGGGAAGUGUGGCGUUCUCCAGCCGUUAAAGACCCCAUCUUUAACCAAGGUUGACCUCGGAUCAGGUAGGAAUACCCGCUGAACUUAAGCAUAUCAAUAAGGCGGAGGA
rnacentral:rRNA from 1 species